GUGCUCACUUCGGCAGCACAGAUGCUGAAAUUGGACUGAUACCGAGAAGAUUAGCAUGGCCCCUGUGCAAGGAUGACAUGUAAAUUCAUGAAGUGUUCCAUAUUUUU